rnacentral:rRNA from 1 species
UACGUAGGCAGCGAGCGUUGUUCGGAAUUACUGGGCGUAAAGAGUGUGUAGGCGGUGCUCUAAGUUCGGUGUGAAAUCUCCUGCUUAAACUGGGAGGGUGCGCCGGAAACUUGGAGUGCUCGAACGUGGGAGAGGAAAGCGGAAUUCCUGGUGUAGCGGUGAAAUGCGUAGAUAUCAGGAGGAACACCAGUGGCGAAGGCGACUACCUGGCCUGUUCUUGACGCUGGAGGCGACGGAAAGCUAGGGGAGCAAACGGG